rnacentral:rRNA from 1 species
GAGGAGCCUGCGGCGGAUUAGCUAGUUGGUAGGGUAACGGCUUACCAAGGCGACGAUCCGUAACCGGCCUGAGAGGGCGGUCGGUCACACUGACACUGACAUACGGGUCAGACUCCUACGGGAGGCAGCAGUCGGGAAUUUUGGGCAAUGGGCGAAAGCCUGACCCAGCAACGCCGCGUGAAGGAUGAAAUCCCUCGGGAUGUAAACUUCGCAAGAAUGGGAAGAAUUAGUAGGGGACAAUACCCCCUAUGAUGACGGUACCAUUUGUAAGCUCCGGCUAACUCCGUGCCAGCAGCCGCGGUAAUACGGGGGGAGCAAACGUUGUUCGGAUUUACUGGGCGUAAAGGGCGCGUAGGCGGCCAGCGCAAGUCGGUUGUGAAAUCUCCGGGCUUAACUCGGAAAGGUCAACCGAUACUGCGCGGCUAGAGUGCGGAAGGGGCAACUGGAAUUCUCGGUGUAGCGGUGAAAUGCGUAGAUAUCGAGAGG